UAGCAUCUGGGGUUUCCAAGGUGCAUUGUGUUAUCAUCGAAAAGUGAAAAGCAUCUUUCCCAUCUGAACAUUGGGUGCCAGGAUGGAGACCAUUAUUUGUGCAAGUCCACCACCUGUUGCUUUAAUGAUGGUGUCCUUGAUUAUUUAUCUACCAGGGGAUCUUCCUGACCCAGGGAUCAAAUUCGCAUCUCCUCCAUCUCCUGCAUUAAUACAUGGACUCUUUACAGGGGGAAAUCUGGAGACAGACAUGUUUACCUGGAAGAAAUGUGAACCAUGUGAGCAUUCAGAUGGCAACCUACAAGCCAAGGAAAGAAGCCUGAAAUGGAUCCUUCCCUCAAACCUCAGAGGGUACUCACCCUGCCUACACCCUGCUUCAGACUGCUAGCCUCCAGAACUGUGAGAUAACAAAUUUCUGUUCUGUAAGCCACUCAGUUUGUGAUGGCUCAUUGUGACAUCCCUGGCAAAUUAAUACAAGUGCUUUUUUACCUCCUGGAAAAAAAGUUAGUAUUUAUAUAUCAAGUGCAGAGAUUUGGUCAUUCUUAUUCCUCAGUUCACAGCAUACUAUCAUCUGAGCCUUUGAACCAUUUUUAUUUCAUUUCUGAUUGUGUUCUGCAUCUCUUUUCAUCUCCAGUCCCAUGCCUAUUUUGCCUAUAGAUGUCCUUGCUAAUAUCUUAAAUGCACACACUGCUUCUGACCCACUUUAUAUACAUUUAUACAUGUAUGGAGAAUGCAGCCUUGAAAGACACUAGUGCUGCCUUCCAUGUGUUUGCUUUGAAUCUGAAUUAUGACAUUGUUUGAUAAACCGUGCUCUACUUCUAACUUGGUUUACGCGAUGCGAUUCUGCUCUGUCGCCAGAGUUCAUUAUUUUCGACUGCUGUGUAGUAUUUCACUGUCAUACACCACGUUUACCCACCUCCACAUCGAAUUAUGG
ensembl:lncRNA